rnacentral:lncRNA from 1 species
UUGCUGCUUACUGAUUUUCAAUUGAUCCAUUUUUCAGCUUGAACACACUCGGCUGCGAACACAGUCAUGGUAGGGGUUUCUAUAGUAACUCAUCAUCCCGACCUGGUACAGGCAGCCACAGGCAGUGUGGCACAUCAGUCCACCCACACAGCAGCCACGGCAGCAAAAACUCAGCUGACGUGGACAACGUCAGAACCAGAAACAGCUCCAGUAUGUCGAGCAGGACUUCUCCACAAGCAGCCACCUCACAGUCUACAAGCAAAACAAGCCCCCUAGUCUCAGAGGCAGCUGCAGCAACCCAGGGUCACACAGCAAGCAGGAAGUCCAAAGGGGCAAAACAGGGCCAGCACAACAGCCAGCACCACAGCCACAGCCCACUGGAGCAGCACUCCCAGCCUCCACCACCAGUGCCUCAGCACCAGGAGCCACCACCUGAAAGGCUGUCCCCUGCCCCCCUCACACACCCUCCCCACCCCGAGCGAGCCAGCACCACACGGCACAGCUCAGAGGACUCCGACAUCACCAGCCUCAUAGAAGCCAUGGACAAAGACUUCGAGCACCAUGACUCCCCAUCCCUAGACGUGUUUACAGAGCAGCCUCCGUCACCACUGUCAAAAAACAAAGGGAAAGGAAAGUCUCUCCAGCAACGCAAGGCCAAGCCUCCCAAGAAGCAGGAGGAGAAGGAGAAGAGGGGAAAGGGGAAGCCUCAGGAGGA